rnacentral:rRNA from 1 species
AACGCGAAGAACCUUACCAAAACUUGACAUUCGGUGCAUAGUAUAGAAAUAUAUGAAACCCUUCGGGGCACCGGGACAGGUGGUGCAUGGUUGUCGUCAGCUCGUGUCGUGAGAUGUUCGGUUAAGUCCGGCAACGAGCGCAACCCCUAUGAAUAGUUGCCAAUAUUAAGUUAGGAACUCUAUUCAGACUGCCGUGGGAAACACGGAGGAAGGUGGGGAUGACGUCAAAUCAUCAUGCCCCUUACGUUUUGGGCUACACACGUGCUACAAUGGGCGCAACAAAGAGCAGCGAGGCAGCAAUGCGGAGCGAAUCUCAGAAAAGCGUUCUCAGUUCGGAUUGUGGGCUGCAACCCGCCCACAUGAAGUUGGAGUUGCUAGUAAUCCCGAAUCAGAAUGUCGGGGUGAAUGCGUUCCCGGGUCUUGUACACACCGAA